rnacentral:rRNA from 1 species
AUUGAACGCUGGCGGCACGCUUUACACAUGCAAGUCGAACGGUAACAGGGAGCUUGCUCCGCUGACGAGUGGCGAACGGGUGAGUAAUGCAUCGGAACGUACCCAGUCGUGGGGGAUAACGUAGCGAAAGUUACGCUAAUACCGCAUACGUCCUGAGGGAGAAAGCGGGGGACCGAAAGGCCUCGCGCGAUUGGAGCGGCCGAUGUCGGAUUAGCUAGUUGGUAGGGUAAAGGCCUACCAAGGCGACGAUCCGUAGCGGGUCUGAGAGGAUGAUCCGCCACACUGGGACUGAGACACGGCCCAGACUCCUACGGGAGGCAGCAGUGGGGAAUUUUGGACAAUGGGCGAAAGCCUGAUCCAGCCAUGCCGCGUGAGUGAAGAAGGCCUUCGGGUUGUAAAGCUCUUUCAGCCGGAAAGAAAUCGCGCAGGAUAAUACUCUGUGUGGAUGACGGUACCGGAAGAAGAAGCACCGGCUAACUACGUGCCAGCAGCCGCCGCAGUAU